UCAGGAUUAACGUUGGCGGUAGGCCUAAUAUAUCCAAGUCAUACGAGAAUUUUUAAUUCUAGUGGCGAACGGGUGAGUAAUGUAUAUCUAACGUGCCUAAGAGAGGGGGAUAACUGGAAGAAAUUUCAGCUAAUACCCCAUAAGAUAUUGAAUGGUAUCAUUUAAUGUUUAAAGUAGCGUUUGCUGCACUCUUAGAUCGGGAUAUAUUGUAUUAGCUAGUUGGUGGGGUAAUAGACCACCAAGGCCAUGAUGCAUAGCCGGGUUGAGAGACUGAUCGGCCACACUGGGACUGAGACACGGCCCAGACUUCUACGGAAGGCAGCAAUAGGGAAUCUUCCACAAUGGGCGCAAGCCUGAUGGAGCCAUACCGCGUGUGAGAUGAAGAACAAUAGUUUGUAAAUCACUGUUGUAGGGGAUGAAAAAUCAAAAUAGGAAAUGAUUUUGAAAUUGACAGUACCCUACCAGAAAGUCCUGUCUAACUCCGUGCCAGCAGCCGCGGUAAUACGGAGGGUGCAAGCGUUAAUCGGAAUUACUGGGCGUAAAGCGCAUGCAGGCGGUUUGUUAAGCGAGAUGUGAAAGCCCCGGGCUCAACCUGGGAACUGCAUUUCGAACUGGCAAACUAGAGUUCUUGAGAGGGUGGUAGAAUUUCAGGUGUAGCGGUGAAAUGCGUAGAGAUCUGAAGGAAUACCAGUGGCGAAGGCGGCCACCUGGCAAGUAACUGACGCUCAGAUGCGAAAGCGUGGGUAGCAAACGGGAUUAGAUACCCCGGUAGUCCACGCCGUAAACGAUGUCUACUCGGAGUUUGGUUCCUUGCGAACUGGGCUCUUAAGCUAACGCACUAAGUAGACCGCCUGGGGAGUACGGCCGCAAGGUUAAAACUCAAAUGAAUUGACGGGGGCCCGCACAAGCGGUGGAGCAUGUGGUUUAAUUCGAUGCAACGCGAAGAACCUUACCUACUCUUGACAUCCUCAGAAGAGCCCAGAGAUGGGCUUGUGCCUUCGGGAACUGAGAGACAGGUGCUGCAUGGCUGUCGUCAGCUCGUGUUGUGAAAUGUUGGGUUAAGUCCCGCAACGAGCGCAACCCUUAUCCUUAUUUGCCAGCACGUAAUGGUGGGAACUCUAAGGAGACUGCCGGUGAUAAACCGGAGGAAGGUGGGGACGACGUCAAGUCAUCAUGGCCCUUACGAGUAGGGCUACACACGUGCUACAAUGGCGCAUACAAAGGGCUGCAAACCAGCGAUGGUAAGCGAAUCCCAUAAAGUGCGUCGUAGUCCGGAUUGGGGUCUGCAACUCGACCCCAUGAAGUCGGAAUCGCUAGUAAUCGUGAAUCGGAAUGUCACGGUGAAUACGUUCCCGGGCCUUGUACACACCGCCCGUCACACCAUGGGAGUGGGCUGCACCAGAAGUCAUU
rnacentral:rRNA from 1 species